CGAAAGCCUGACGGAGCAAGACCGCGUGAGGGAGGAAGGCUCUUGGGUUGUAAACCUCUUUUCUCAGGGAAGAACAAAAUGACGGUACCUGAGGAAUCAGCAUCGGCUAACUCCGUGCCAGCAGCCGCGGUAAUACGGAGGAUGCAAGCGUUAUCCGGAAUGAUUGGGCGUAAAGAGUCCGUAGGUGGCUCGUCAAGUCGAUUGUCAAAGCGCGAGGCUUAACUUCGUUAAGGCAGUGGAAACUGAUGAGCUUGAGAGCAGUAGGGGCAGAAGGAAUUCCUGGUGUAGCGGUGAAAUGCGUAGAGAUCAGGAAGAACACCGGUGGCGAAAGCGUUCUGCUGGGCUGCAACUGACACUGAGGGACGAAAGCUAGGGGAGCG
rnacentral:rRNA from 1 species